UUAACUAUUAUAUAGUACUCAGACAUCACUAAAAACAGAGUUUGUUUCCUCUGGCAGGCACGCACAAGCCGAAGCCCGCGGUGUUUCCACGGCCUGCCAAAGCAACUAAGGUAUAGUAUUCAAGGGUGGGAGAUCUACCCGUGAGGGCAUGAACUCUGUAAUGAUCCUUCCGCAGGUUCACCUACGGAAA
rnacentral:misc_RNA from 1 species